rnacentral:rRNA from 1 species
UACGGGGGGGGCAAGCGUUGUUCGGAAUUACUGGGCGUAAAGGGCUCGUAGGCGGCCAACUAAGUCGGAUGUGAAAUCCCCAGGCUUAACCUGGGAACUGCAUCCGAUACUGGAUGGCUUGAAUUCGGGAGAGGGAUGCAGAAUUCCAGGUGUAGCGGUGAAAUGCGUAGAUAUCUGGAGGAAUACCGGUGGCGAAGGCGGCAUCCUGGACCGGUAUUGACGCUGAGGCGCGAAAGCGUGGGGAGCGAACAGG